UGAUGAGUCAGAAUGUAGGAUAAAGAUGUCCUCAGUCCACAAAUUGUCUAUUUAACUUAUGAUUCACUCCACGUGGUAACAGAAGAUGGCAGUAAAGCCUUUCCUCUCACAGCCAGCUGUGAAACUCUCUUUCAAAGCGAACUGAGGCAUCAAAAUAGAGACCUCUUUUAUAGCAUAGCCACAGAAUCAGAAGGUUCACAAAGGAGCUACUAAACAAGACAUUAGGGCUGUGUAAAAUGUAAUUCUGGAGGUAGACAAACAGCACGUGUUAAAUACUGUCACCAUAGCAACAGCUCACAGUAGGGAAGAGCAAUCACACACGCUAAAAACUCCUACACACACAAACACACACACACACAAACACUCCUGGAAAUGUGUAUUUCAAAAAUAGUCUUUGUUGCAAAAUAUAUGUCUGACAGGGAAUUCUACAUCACGAUCAACUGCAGUAUAGCUGUGAUAGUUUUGUGCUUUCUUUGAUUUAAUCAAAAAUUUAUACUGAAAUCUAAGUAUGUGCGUGUGAGCACAUGUGUGUAUGUAACCAUUGCAAGUCAUGCUCUAAU